GACGAACGCUGGCGGCGUGCUUAACACAUGCAAGUCGAACGGAAAGGCCCUGCUUUUGUGGGGUGCUCGAGUGGCGAACGGGUGAGUAACACGUGAGUAACCUGCCCUUGACUUUGGGAUAACUUCAGGAAACUGGGGCUAAUACCGGAUAGGAGCUCCUGCUGCAUGGUGGGGGUUGGAAAGUUUCGGCGGUUGGGGAUGGACUCGCGGCUUAUCAGCUUGUUGGUGGGGUAGUGGCUUACCAAGGCUUUGACGGGUAGCCGGCCUGAGAGGGUGACCGGCCACAUUGGGACUGAGAUACGGCCCAGACUCCUACGGGAGGCAGCAGUGGGGAAUAUUGCACAGUGGGCGGAAGCCUGAUGCAGCAACGCCGCGUGCGGGAUGACGGCCUUCGGGUUGUAAACCGCUUUCGCCUGUGACGAAGCGUGAGUGACGGUAAUGGGUAAAGAAGCACCGGCUAACUACGUGCCAGCAGCCGCGGUGAUACGUAGGGUGCGAGCGUUGUCCGGAUUUAUUGGGCGUAAAGGGCUCGUAGGUGGUUGAUCGCGUCGGAAGUGUAAUCUUGGGGCUUAACCCUGAGCGUGCUUUCGAUACGGGUUGACUUGAGGAAGGUAGGGGAGAAUGGAAUUCCUGGUGGAGCGGUGGAAUGCGCAGAUAUCAGGAGGAACACCAGUGGCGAAGGCGGUUCUCUGGGCCUUUCCUGACGCUGAGGAGCGAAAGCGUGGGGAGCGAACAGGCUUAGAUACCAUGGUAGUCCACGCUGUAAACGGUGGGUACUAGGUGUGGGGUCCAUUCCACGGGUUCCGUGCCGUAGCUAACGCUUUAAGUACCCCGCCUGGGGAGUACGGCCGCAAGGCUAAAACUCAAAGGAAUUGACGGGGCCCCGCACAAGCGGCGGAGCAUGCGGAUUAAUUCGAUGCAACGCGUAGAACCUUACCUGGGUUUGACAUGGAUCGGGAGUGCUCAGAGAUGGGUGUGCCUCUUUUGGGGUCGGUUCACAGGUGGUGCAUGGCUGUCGUCAGCCCGUGUCGUGAGAUGUUGGGUUAAGUCCCGCAACGAGCGCAACCCUUGUUCACUGUUGCCAGCACGUUAUGGUGGGGACUCAGUGGAGACCGCCGGGGUCAACUCGGAGGAAGGUGGGGAUGACGUCAAGUCAUCAUGCCCCUUAUGUCCAGGGCUUCACGCAUGCUACAAUGGCUGGUACAGAGAGUGGCGAGCCUGUGAGGGUGAGCGAAUCUCGGAAAGCCGGUCUCAGUUCGGAUUGGGGUCUGCAACUCGACCUCAUGAAGUCGGAGUCGCUAGUAAUCGCAGAUCAGCAACGCUGCGGUGAAGACGUUCCCGGG
rnacentral:rRNA from 1 species